AGGACGAACGCUGGCGGCGUGCUUAACACAUGCAAGUCGAGCGAGGCCCCACCUUCGGGUGGGUGUCCUAGCGGCGAACGGGUGAGUAACACGUGGGCAACCUGCCCCUAGCACUGGGAUAACUCCGGGAAACCGGGGCUAAUACCGGAUACGACUUCGGAAGGCAUCUUCUGAAGUGGAAAGGGUUACUGGCUAGGGAUGGGCCCGCGGCCUAUCAGCUUGUUGGUGGGUAACGCCUACAGGCUCCGACGGGUAGCCGGCCUGAGAGGGCGACCGGCCACACUGGGACUGAGACACGGCCCAGACUCCUACGGGAGGCAGCAGUGGGGAAUAUUGCACAAUGGGCGAAAGCCUGAUGCAGCGACGCGCGUGAGGAUGACGGCCUUCGGUUGUAAACCUUCUUU
rnacentral:rRNA from 1 species